CCACAUCAUGAAAGCCGCUUGUACCCGAAGUCGCUGUGCCAACUCGCAAGAGAGGCAGGUGCCGAAGGUAUGGGUGGUGAUUGGGAUG
rnacentral:rRNA from 1 species